rnacentral:lncRNA from 1 species
CCGAUAUGAAAUUAUUAACUAACAAGUGUGAUAUUAGAUUAUUUUACCAUAUACAAGAUACUAAAUAUUAACUUAGUUAUUCUUCAUUUGCAUGUAACUAGCUAUAUAGAAUUGUGCUAUUUCCCUCCUAAAUUAUUCUUCUCCUCAAUAAAAUCCGCAUCAAAGAGCAAAUUCCAUUUUUGACCUCAAUGCAUCGAGCAUUGUGUCCAUAUCCCUUAUUUAGCAACCGUUAACUACUCUUCUUCCUACCCGCUUCCUCAGUUCUGCCGUUGGUGUCGUUGCCACACUGUCUUGAACACUUGUCAUGAUUUCAGUAAAAAACCUAGCACAACAUCGUUUUUGAUAAUUGUCGCCAAAAAAAAUAAAAUUACGAGAAAAAGAAGAAGAAUUUACUAGAAAAACUAACAAAACUCUUGUCCUAAAUGAAUGGAGAGAGAAAUGUAGGGUUUGAUGAUGUCUGAUCGAAAGCAUUAGAAAGAGCAGCCUAUAAUCGACCAAAAUCAUGAAAAUUUCCCAGAACUGGCAAAGAGAAAUCACUUAUUUAGGGUUUUGUUGGGUGAAAGUUUUAUAAAUUAAAGGGUAAUAGUAAAUUUUUGAAUUAAUGGGCCGUAUUGGGCCUAAUUAUCUCUAAAAGAAACCAGAGAGCAUGUUUUGGACUUUACCUAUUUGCUCGAAUCAAUUUGAAACGUUGGCUCCGCUCCUAGAAAGUAUAUUGGGCUGUAAAUUUUUUACUAAAAUUCAGGCCCAACUACAGAGAGCUGAACAGGGCACGGUUCAGUGUAGUCCAUCUUAAAGUCUAACUCAUCAUUUGGAUUGUGGACAAAACUAGCAUUAUUGAUC